rnacentral:lncRNA from 1 species
CCAGAAUCAAUCAGAAAAUAGCUACAGGCACCAAAUGUAAGCCUACUGCUAAGAAAAGUUAUUUGCACUGCUGAGUGUGAGGAUCACAGUGGAAGGCAGACGCAUGCUUGACCACACAGAAAGCAUCUCUUACAAAGCUUCUAUUUCAUUGCUUAUAUAGUGACAUCCAAGGUUCAAAUCUGUCUCUUUGCUAUGAGGAAUGGAAGCAUUCAGCAGCAUCAGUUCUUGGAUUGAACUGUUUGCUCCUUCAGUCACUGCUACAAAUUACCUCCUUCACAGAAUUAAACACAGGCAGACCCAGAUGUGUUUUUCCACCUUUCCCUGGAGAAACUCCUCCAACUAGAUUGGUGCCAUACUCCAAUGCCUGUUGGCUGUGAAAGGUGCCCUGCUUGCCUGUAAAACCCUGACAGAUAACCUUUGUGCUUUUGUUAAUAUACAGAUUUUUCCUUGAUGCUGCGUAAGAGCAGCGUCGUACUCCAUUCUGGUGCAGGCGGAGAAAGCGGCCCAGGAGGCGGGCGGCCGCGGCGCUGCAGUGAGACAUCGUCCCCUCGCCAAUGACACCGGCCCGGCGGCCCUGCUCGGCGCCUGAGCACUGCCCACCCCGGCGCGGCGCC